AGGAUAAACGCUGGCGGCGUGCCUAACACAUGCAAGUCGAACGCGCUUUCGGGCUUCGGUGCGAGAGCGAGUGGCGGACGGGUGAGUAACACAUGGGUACCUACCUUGGAGUGAGGGAUACCGGCGAGAAAUCGCCGACAAUACCGCAUAGGCUUCUUCACAAGGGAAGCAAAGUGACGCGAGUCACGCUGUGAGAUGGGCCUGUGGCCGAUUAGCUAGUUGGGGGGGUAACGGCUUCCCAAGGCGACGAUCGGUAGCUGGUCUGAGAGGACGAUCAGCCACACUGGGAUUGAGAACGGCCCAGACUCCUACGGGGGGCAGCAGUGAGGAAUUUUCCGCAAUGGAGGCAACUCUGACGGAGCAACGCCGCGUGCAGGAGGAAGGUUUUCGGAUCGUAAACUGCUUUUCGUCGGGGACGAGCAAGGACGGUACCCGAGGAAGAAGCCCGGCUAACUACGCGCCAGCAGCCGC
rnacentral:rRNA from 1 species